CCGGGGUUAGGCAGGCUGCAGUGGAGGAGGGUACGCCGUUCCAUUGGCGUGGUACUGUCGGCGGCCCUUCAGAGGAGAUGCUGCCCCACGGAACGCCUGGCAAGUGCUGGCGAAGCGGCAUGGGCGUCCCACUCCGUUCCUCAACCAAUUUCCUCACAAUCGCGAGCCGAAGUGUGGCGCUUUGGCAGUUUCGCAAGGUCUUUUGUCAGGAGAUGAGUUACUGAGGAUUGGGGGUCUUUGGAGCUCUUGGACCUGAAGAACGAUUAAGUUUUUCUCCCUUCAGAGAGCCAAGAGAUGGGGUCUUGCUGUGUUGCCCAGGGUGGAGUGCAGUGGCUAUUCACAGGUGUGAUCAUAGCUACUAUAGCCUCAAACCCUGGGUUCAAGUGAGUCCUUUGAACUAGAACAUUGGCCUUUUCUGGUUCUGCAGAAGCUUCCAGCCUUCAGAUUUGAACUGGGACACUGGCUCUGCAGAUUUUGGACUUGCCAGCCUUCAUAAUUGUAACCUACACUCCUGUCAUUUGUGGAAUGAUUGCUGGAGCCAGAGGCCAGGAAGAAGUUCAUGAGCCUGAGAGAAAAAGCAAGGAUUUCCAGUUCUACCCUCUUGGACUUGACCCUCUGCAGGCUCUCCACAUGCUCCGUCAGCUCGGC
rnacentral:lncRNA from 10 species